AAAUUGAAGAGUUUGAUCAUGGCUCAGAUUGAACGCUGGCGGCAGGCCUAACACAUGCAAGUCGAACGGUAACAGGAAGAAGCUUGCUUAUUUGCUGACGAGUGGCGGACGGGUGAGUAAUGUCUGGGAAACUGCCUGAUGGAGGGGGAUAACUACUGGAAACGGUAGCUAAUACCGCAUAACGUCGCAAGACCAAAGAGGGGGACCUUCGGGCCUCUUGCCAUCGGAUGUGCCCAGAUGGGAUUAGCUUGUUGGUGGGGUAACGGCUCACCAAGGCGACGAUCCCUAGCUGGUCUGAGAGGAUGACCAGCCACACUGGAACUGAGACACGGUCCAGACUCCUACGGGAGGCAGCAGUGGGGAAUAUUGCACAAUGGGCGCAAGCCUGAUGCAGCCAUGCCGCGUGUAUGAAGAAGGCCUUCGGGUUGUAAAGUACUUUCAGCGGGGAGGAAGGGAGUAAAGUUAAUACCUUU
rnacentral:rRNA from 1 species